GAGAGCCGGAUGCUCGGAAACGAGCCAGUCCGGUUCGGCGGGAGGCCGUGGGGAAAAGGACCUGCCCAGCAGACACCUCGCCCCACGGCCCACCCUGY
rfam:Frankia sp. Cc1.17 contig_100, whole genome shotgun sequence.